rnacentral:rRNA from 1 species
UAUACGACCGUACCGCAAACCGACACUGGUGCGCGAGAUGAGUAUUCUAAGGCGCUUGAGAGAACUCAGGGGAAGGAACUCGGCAAAUUGACACCGUAACUUCGGAAGAAGGUGUGCCCUAUUAGUGUGUAGUGAACAACGAAGCAUGAAUGGGUUGCAAAAAAUCGGUGGCUGCGACUGUUUAUUAAAAACACAGCACUCUGCAAACACGAAAGUGGACGUAUAGGGUGUGACGCCUGCCCGGUGCUGGAAGAUUAAUGAUGGGGUGCAAGCUCUUGAUUGAAGUCCCAGUAAACGGCGGCCGUAACAAUAACGGUCCUAAGGUAGCGAAAUUCCUUGUCGGGUAAGUUCCGACCUGCACGAAUGGCGUAACGAUGGCCACACUGUCUCCUCCUGAGACUCAGCGAAGUUGAAAUGUUUGUGAUACUGCAAUCUCCCCGCGGAAAGACGGAAAGACCCCAUGGACCUUUACUGUAGCUUUGUAUUGGACUUUGAACAGAUCUGUGUAGGAUAGGUGGGAGGCUUUGAAGCAGGGUCGCUAGAUCUUGUGGAGCCAACGUUGAAAUACCACCCUGGUGUGUUUGAGGUUCUAACCUAGGUCCAUUAUCUGGAUCGGGGACAGUGCAUGGUAGGCAGUUUGACUGGGGCGGUCUCCUCCCAAAGCGUAACGGAGGAGUUCGAAGGUACGCUAGUUACGGUCGGACAUCGUGACGAUAGUGCAAUGGCAUAAGCGUGCUUAACUGCGAGACUGACAAGUCGAGCAGAUGCGAAAGCAGGACAUAGUGAUCCGGUGGUUCUGUAUGGAAGGGCCAUCGCUCAACGGAUAAAAGGUACUCUGGGGAUAACAGGCUGAUACCGCCCAAGAGUUCAUAUCGACGGCGGUGUUUGGCACCUCGAUGUUGGCUCAUCUCAUCCUGGGGCUGUAGCCGGUCCCAAGGGUAUGGCUGUUCGCCAUUUAAAGAGGUACGUGAGCUGGGUUUAAAACGUCGUGAGACAGUUUGGUCCCUAUCUUCCGUGGGCGCUGCAGAUUUGAGGAAGCCUGCUCCUAGUACGAGAGGACCGGAGUGGACACACCUCUGGUGUAUCGGUUGUCACGCCAGUGGCAUUGCCGAGUAGCUAAGUGUGGAAGAGAUAACCGCUGAAAGCAUCUAAGCGGGAAACUCGUUUCAAGAUGUGAUCUGCCGGGGCCUUGAGCCCCCUAAAGAGUCGUUCAAGACCAGGACGUUGAUAGGUCAGGUGUGGAAGCG